CCCGUAGUGACGCUGGUCCUGAUGCUGUGCCCAGGAUGCAUCUCAUCUCCAUCAGUCGGUCCAGCUCUCUGCGGGUCGGGUGUGCACAGUAUGACCAACCCGCAGCAGGUAAACGCUUCUUCAGUGUUAUGGAUCAAACCUGAAUGCAUGACACGUUCACGUGACUUCUGGAUGCACUCUGAGCUUCUGGAUGCUCUUGAAGGUAGCAGAAUUAUGGUUGAGUUGUCAGCGAACAAAAACAAUACCUUUUCCUGGAUUCCGGCUCCCAGGUGCCCAUUAGAGGAGACCUUUGGGAUGUAGUAAAAUCUCCUGGGCAGGUCUUUCUGCCGCAUCGAGUAAAUGGGUUAUUAGAGAUGACACUAAUGCAUGAUGCUGAUUACCGGCCACACGCUUCCCUGCCCACCGAUCCUGACCACAUGACACCGAACCCUUCCACCGCUCCGGCUGCAUUAGGGGUAAAUGAUGAGGAAAAAGACGCAACCUUUGGGUGUGCGGCAGAGACUGACGACGUUGUGAAUGCGUUCGGUCUGCUGCACGAUGAAU